UACGGGGGGGGCAAGCGUUGUUCGGAAUUACUGGGCGUAAAGGGCUCGUAGGUGGCCAACUAAGUCAUACGUGAAAUCCCUCGGCUUAACCGGGGAACUGCGUCUGAUACUGGAUGGCUUGAGGUUGGGAGAGGGAUGCGGAAUUCCAGGUGUAGCGGUGAAAUGCGUAGAUAUCUGGAGGAACACCGGUGGCGAAGGCGGCAUCCUGGACCAACACUGACACUGAGGAGCGAAAGCCAGGGAGCAAAGCGGG
rnacentral:rRNA from 1 species